rnacentral:lncRNA from 1 species
UGAAAGAACGGAUGGGAGGCCAACCAACGGCUGCUGAAACUGAAGCCCUAUUGACAAGACGUUGAAUUCCUUGCAAUUAGCAACUUAGCAUUACUUGUUUUCUUGAAAAACUUGUAAGCCAUAUGCAUUUUGAAGUUAAAACUAAUUCUGAAAUGAGAAAAUGUCUAAUUAUCAGCAAAAGAAAUUUAUUUCCAAUAUUUAGUUGGUUAUCAACUAGAUCACUUUUAGAAUCUUCCACUGCAAGUUCCCGAGCUACAUGAAACCAACUCGUUGUAGCUCAAACUUGUGUAUUUGAAGUGAUCUUAAGCCAGUUACAUAGAGGCUUGGAUAUCAGUAAAGAAGCACAAAUACUUAAGUUUGGCUGGGCGUGUUUCUGUUGGACACUUUUCGGAUACUUGACACUUCCACACUUGUUUGACACAAAUAGGACACUUGUCAGUGUAACAAAUGUGUUAGACAUGCAUAGAACCGUCGUUGAGUAGAUAAAAAUACAUGGAGCAAAGUUUUUCUAACUUAGAAAUGUAUCAACCCAUUGACUUUGAAUUUUCUUUUAGAGUACAAACAAUAUAUAUUUUUAGAAGUAUUUGUGUUAUGUCCUAGAUUAUUAAAAUAGGAUGUCGCCGUGUCCGUUUCGUGAUAUCAUGUUAUCCAUGCUUCUUAGGAUAUCAGAACCUGUUUUUCCCUUGUAAUAUAAUCCAUACAAAACUUCAGCUGCAAUUGAAUUCGACCUUCCAAGAUUUCAAGAAACAGUUUAAACAGAAAAGGCACUAAAAACGUCUAGCCUUCAUUUCAACUUAACAAAAACCAAUUUAAGAAAGUUGGUGGAUUGUUUAGAUUGAUGAAACACGUAAUAAUAGUUUGGAGAUACAAAUUAUAACUGACAUGUGAUAUCAUCGCUUAAAAAGUAGAGUUUGAUAUGAAUGAUUAGAAAAGAAGAUAUAAAAGAAGAUAAAGCUGACUAACCUUUUGUCAUGGUGUUUAGUUUCAGAUGAUUCUGCAGGAACUGAACCAUCGUUGAGACAUGAGUUCAACUCAGUUGCUUUUAAACUGCAUGGCUUUGAUGACUCCUCUGACACCAAAUCCAAGUUCUGAGGCAUCAAUACAUGUUUCAAAUAUGAAGAUUGAG